rnacentral:lncRNA from 12 species
UGGCACGUCGCUGGUGGAAUUCCAGCCAUGAGUUUCCUUUCCUUAGGACUCUCCAUAGGUCACAUCCUGAAUCUGCAAACCCACGUCGCCACUACUAAAGAGGGGGUGUCAGGAGACGCUCUAACAGCCAGCUGAGUAGCCAGUCUUUCCGACAUCAGCUCUCCUCAUAUAACAAGUCUUUAAAAAAAAAAAAAAUUGGGUAAAAACGUUUCUCUUAUUUGAGUGACCCAUAGUUAGAAUUACUCUUUGUUUUAGCGUAUCCCGAUUGGGACAAUUUAUCCACACAAUGUGGGAAAUGAGACAGAUGCUAGAAGUGAGCCUUAAUUCCAUACAAAACUAACAGGAAUUAGAAGACACGUUUAUGCUUUGGAGUAGAGAUCUUAUAGAUGUAUCACAGGGACAUAUUUCCUACUUGCACGUGACCUUCCAGGUAUAGAGGGCUCUUGUCCAAUUAUCUAAAUUGCCUAAGUUCUGAUUGUCCCAAAAUUCUCCCCAGGUCCCAAAAUUCCCCCCAAUAGAAAUGUUUAAAGAUAAUAUAGAAUAGAUGAGAGCAUAUGGACAUCGGAAUAUACCCUAGAAUGUAAUCCUUAAAAGCCACUGUAUGAAGUUAUUCUAUUUCUACUUUCCCAUUUAUUUUAAAUAAUGGGUACUAAUAGUUUACAGAGCUGAUUAACCUAAACUAAAAGAGAUGUUUUCUCUAGAAAUAAAAAAAAAAGGCAAAUUAUUUCAGUAUGAACUGCCCUGCUGACCAAGUGAAAGUUAGAUUUAGUAGGAAAGUCCUUCAUUCACUUCUAUCUAAAUCAGUAAUUUCCAGACUUUCCCUUUUCUCAGACUGGAGGAGAAGGUGUGGCCAGAGAGAGACUUCUGAGAAUUGGGAAGGAAACUUGAGGGGGCACAAGCCUGAUGCUUCUAUGGAGGUGUCGCACAUUUUGUUGGCCUUUAUGAAAUUCAUCAGUUAUGGGCACUGUGGCUGAUGACACCCACGAAUAGGUGGCCCUGCACCUAGGAGGACGGGUUGGACCCUGGAAGGAGCUACGUGAGACGAAGCCCCGGUCGCCGAGGAUGGGUUCAAGUCCAAGCUUUGUAUCUAACCUAGGUGACAAAGGCGGGCCCUCUUGUCCCCCUCUUGUUUGCCAGCACCACCACCAAUGCUGUUUUUCUCUGCUUUUAGUAGAAAGAGAUAAAUAAUUGGGCAAACACAAUAAAGUGAUAACACUUAUGAAAGACUUAUAAUAG